rnacentral:misc_RNA from 1 species
AUACAAAUGCACACGAAGCUCGUCUUGCACGACGAUUACUCGACACACAGCAUCUACACGCGAGGAAUUACGCGCGUCAGUCGUGACGAACGCGCGCGGCUACGUCUACGAUCAUUAAAGACCAAUCCUUCGGGUUGCGUAACGGAUCACCGAGUCUCGCGAGUCCGUUGUGUUGUUAGCGAGCAGGGAAACACACUAGCUGACUAAGGCACGAAGAUGCAUCUCUCCCUCGGUUACAACAAGUCGGCCCCUAAGCGUCGUUCAGCCGCCUGGAUAUUAUGAAACAAGGAUGUCUGCGACGGAAAGCGGGUCACUGCACGGUUCGUUUAUUUGUUGCGCCCGGUUCCUGCAUCGUUUCACCUAGCCACCGUCCUCUUUGCUCCUCUUUCUUCGCUCGAGUUAUCGAAAACAGUUCGAUCAACAUCGCUUGCCAUCUCUAGUCUAGUCUAGCGUGUAGAUCGGGAACACGAGAAUGGUUUAUAGUGGACGUUUUCAAGAGGGUUCGAG